UUUUUUAAAAGAAUUUAAUUAUUGUGGCUCGGAUAUUCUUUUAUUCAAAAUAAUUCAGACUAAUUACAAAUAUCACCUAAAACCCUCAUGGUGACUUGGAAUGGACUCUAUUAGGACCUCACCCCAAACUACACGUAAACAAAGGCAGAUACGUCAACCUUGCUGUAGGCGACAUGGCUGGCUAGAAAAGUAGCCCCUGGGCCAAACAGACACAAAGACCUAGAACAGCUUCUGACUCUUUGCCAAGGUAAGUACUGUAUGCAAAUGCAUAAUGUCAUUGACCCAAUAAGGAAGUGUCAAGCCAUACAGAGACGUCUUUCUUUCGCCCGUAGUGUGUCUGUCUCUCACACAGACUAGCACGACGGAAACAAUCUACUGACCGAGGAGUCAGAGUCAAGAAACCUUUAGAAAGAUGUGGGCGAAGGUACAGUUUCUGGUGUUCAUGGUUGCGGUGCCCGGAGCGUCUGCCUUAGAUGCCGGUAUCCCCCUUUCCGCGAUUCUCGGUUUCGGCGGUGUCGGUGUUUGCUGGGUGUUCACGUGUUUUUUUUUUUGCUUUUGUCAACGAGCCGAACGUGAACGAAACGGGCCGACAUACCCUACAAGACCCGUGCCGACUUAUACCGUAUCCCAGCACAUCGGUAUGAGUACUACAGGUGUGCAGAACAGCGCCUUUACUCCUGAACUGCAGCCCGCCUUCAAUCCCCUGUACUCCCCUGCUUACAACCCACAAGCUUUACCCGUCGUUAGCUAUCCAGCUAACACCGCUGCAUAUCCUCCCCCUCCCCAAUACCCUCCCUCCUCAGCCCCACCACUAUCCCCUCCUGCCGCCCCCUCCUCCCCACCCCAAGAUUUCCCCCCUCCACCGGUUUACGAAGAUGCUGCGAAAUCGCCUUCUCCUCAACCACUACCACCAGACUCUGCCUGAGUGAGUGUUCAUCCGCGGACCGCGGACCAGUAUACGCGGGAGCUCCAUACGAUGAAGACGCCGCCGCCAAGUCAGACAGUAGUACCUUCUUCCAGACAGUCGUCUUCGCGCAGACGAACCGGCUUCACUCCACUAACCUUUUAUAUAGCUAGUCCCUACCAGACUCCAUGGGUUUCUGGAAAAAUACAAAUGGUUACACUAUGACCGGCCAACUCUGGAAAAUUCUUCAGUCUAUUUGGCCAAUUUUGGGAUUUUUUUCCGGCAAGCCAAGGAGUCUUUUAGACAUGAACCGUACUUAAGCUGGGUUCGUAUAAGCGCAACGAAAUGUCUUAGACCAGCUGGCGUUGUACCAAUCUACAAUCUAACCACAAUAUCAGUUUUGAAUUAUGGAAGCUGUUUCAGCUAUUACCUCCAGGAUCCAAAUGCUUAUACUUAAACCAUCUAUGCUGGAACUUCACGUUGGUUUGUUAUUAACUGGUGAGUCUUCAGUUGUCUGUAGAAACCUCGUUUCACUAUUGAUAGUAAUAUUGAUCAUAGUAAUAUCUUCAAUAGGCUGUUCGUGGUUUUAAAGUGUACGUUGUCGCUGAAUCCAUUGGUGUUUCCUGACAUUGUUUUGACUUAUCUGGAAUUAUACAUUAUACAUUAGACAGCUGUACUAGCCACCGAGUGUGCUAUCUUCAAAUACAAUUUUCAUGAUCAUAGAUGAUGAUUUUAUUGCAAAUUAGGGCAUGUUGAUUUGAUUAUAUGAAUGACAUCAUAUGGGGACCCAAAAACUGAUGCAAGCGUUCGAGUAAAGAAAAGUUUAACAAAUAAAAUGUUGCCUCCAUUAUGAAAACUAAGUGGUCAGGAAGGCUGAACAAAUGACUGAACACACAGAAUAUGGUAUAUCGAAAAAUAGAUUCUUCAUUUUUGUUUGUCAAUUCUUUCACAUCUUUUUGUUUUAGACCUUGGAAUAUUCUAUGACAUUAGCAUACGUUUUUCGAUAUUUGUUAUUGCGAUAAAUGGCAUAUAUUUGCUUAUUUUGAAGCUGCUUUUUAUGAUUUAUAGUAUGGUUGGAAUAAAUGUUUUCAGUGCUACACAUAUGACUAAAGUGAAGGAAUUUACUUUUUCUGUAACCAAAUAGGACAUUUCCAUCAUAACGUAGUAGUAGAUUUAGAACUAACUUCUACAGUAAAACCAAUGCAAUAAGUUAUCAUUACAAUAUGUAAAUCUUUAUACCGAUAGUUAACAUACAUAGCAUAAUCUACGAGGAAUUGCACUUAAUGUUCUUCUGCCUGUUUGAGGUAAAAAUGUGAUAAAGAAAUUCUUUGUUCUAGGUGCUUGCAGUUAUGCAUUCCUGAUUCAAUUCGCAGUUUGUGGCAACUGAUUCUUAGUUUAUGUAGCACCUGUCUUACACACACACGCACGCACGCACGCACGCACGCACGCACGCACGCACGCACACACACACACACACACACACACACACACACAUUUACCUUAAAGCCCCCUACACACGACAAUUUACUUUCAGCACAUAAUAAUAUGGCUACACACAUAAUCCAACCCACAAAAAAAAGACACACACACAUUGUUCCCAAUCACAGUUUCAUCCACCAUUUAGCACAUGAAUGAUAAAGGCAAGACACAAAACCACAUUUGCCAACUACGAUUGGUCCAAUAAACUCCAGAGCAGGUUGUUUCAGUCAGGACCAAUACAUGUCAUAAUGAUUACUAAACGCACAAAACCAAAGUAUGAGAUUCUACCCAGGCUAGAUAUCACUAAGACAUAACACAACUAAAUAUACGUCACAUUGAUGUAUACAAUAAAUUUCACCAAUAUUAAACCUGCAUUGUCAUUUGUGCUGAAAACACCAUCCACACACAGGUAAAAAAUUGUUCCUGGCGCUUUCACCAAACACAAAAGCAAACAUACCUGUGCCGAACACCCUCACAACUAAACACCCCUGUCCCUGCAUUGUCCAUACACAUUGGGCCACAAAGUAUACAUUUGUCUGAAUGUUUAGCUUAGUCUUCUGCUGUCUGUUGUUUGCAACAGCAUUUGAACGGGAGCAUGAUAAAAUUACGUAUCGCCCUGACACAUGCCCGGGCCCGGCCGCGGGCGUUUUUCCUCACUGCUUUGUCUUCGGCGUUGUUCUGUCCAAUGUCAUUCAUGUCGCCUGUACCGUAUUGAGUUUUGUCAGUGUCGUGUACUGUAAUGUCACAUGUGUCUUCAGUUUUUCGUAAGUCGUCUA